UACGUAGGGUGCGAGCGUUAAUCGGAAUUACUGGGCGUAAAGCGUGCGCAGGCGGUUUUGUAAGCCAGAUGUGAAAUCCCCGGGCUUAACCUGGGAAUGGCAUUUGGGACUGCAAGGCUGGAGUGUGGCAGAGGAGACUGGAAUUCCUGGUGUAGCAGUGAAAUGCGUAGAUAUCAGGAGGAACACCAAUGGCGAAGGCAGCUCGCUGGGACGUGACUGACGCUGAGACGCGAAAGCGUGGGGAGCAAACAGG
rnacentral:rRNA from 1 species